UUUAUGGAGAGUUUGAUCCUGGCUCAGGAUGAACGCUGGCGGCGUGCCUAAUACAUGCAAGUCGAGCGAACAGAUGAGAAGCUUGCUUCUCUGAUGUUAGCGGCGGACGGGUGAGUAACACGUGGGUAACCUACCUAUAAGACUGGGAUAACUCCGGGAAACCGGGGCUAAUACCGGAUAAUAUUUUGAACCGCAUGGUUCAAUAGUGAAAGACGGUUUCGGCUGUCACUUAUAGAUGGACCCGCGCCGUAUUAGCUAGUUGGUAAGGUAACGGCUUACCAAGGCGACGAUACGUAGCCGACCUGAGAGGGUGAUCGGCCACACUGGAACUGAGACACGGUCCAGACUCCUACGGGAGGCAGCAGUAGGGAAUCUUCCGCAAUGGGCGAAAGCCUGACGGAGCAACGCCGCGUGAGUGAUGAAGGUCUUCGGAUCGUAAAACUCUGUUGUUAGGGAAGAACAAAUUUGUUAGUA
rnacentral:rRNA from 1 species